rnacentral:rRNA from 1 species
ACACGACUACAUUAGAUACCCGCGUAGUCCUAGCCGUAAACGAUACUCGCUAGGUGUCGGCCACGGUGCGACCGUUGUCGGUGCCGUAGGGAAGCCGUGAAGCGAGCCACCUGGGAAGUACGGCCGCAAGGCUGAAACUUAAAGGAAUUGGCGGGGAGCACCACAACGGGUGGAGCCUGCGGUUUAAUUGGACUCAACGCCGGAAAUCUCACCGGAUAGGACAGACAUAUGAUAGUCGGGCUGAAGACUCUACUUGAUGAUCUG